GCCUCGGUGGCUCAGUCGGUUGAGUGUCCGACUUCAGCUCAGGUCAUGAUCUCGCAGUUUGUGGGUUCGAGCCCCGCUUCAGGCU
rnacentral:tRNA from 1 species